rnacentral:rRNA from 1 species
AUUGAACGCUGGCGGCGUGCCUAACACAUGCAAGUCGAGCGGUAACAGGUGUAGCAAUACAUGCUGACGAGCGGCGAACGGGUGAGUAAUGCUUCGGAAUCUGCCCAUGUAGUGGGGAAUAACCAGCCGAAAGGUUGGCUAAUACCGCAUACGACCUACGGGUGAAAGCAGGGGAUCGCAAGACCUUGCGCUAUUGGAUGAGCCGAAGUCGGAUUAGCAGUUGGUAGGGUAACGGCCUACCAAGGCGACGAUCCGUAGCUGGUCUGAGAGGACGACCAGCCACACUGGGACUGAGACACGGCCCAGACUCCUACGGGAGGCAGCAGUGGGGAAUAUUGGACAAUGGGGCAACCCUGAUCCAGCGACGCCGCGUGUGUGAAGAAGGCCUGCGGGUUGUAAAGCUACUUUUAGUGGGGAUGAAAAGCUCGGGGCUAAUACCUCCGGGUCUUGACCUAACCCAAAGAAAACGACACCGGCUAACUCUGUGCCAGCCGCCGCGGUAAC